GGCGGCUGUACGCAGCGGUACCGAAAGGCGUUGCGCUACGCCAUUCUCGGAAAGGGCAGCGCGAGAAACGCACGUUGAGCCUGCACGCUGUUCUUCACUUUUCACCGACUCGAUUGCUGUGAUAUUAGAUUGUUUUAUAUCCUCCUUACUGGGAACGAGGAAGUCACAAGUACCAUGGAGGACGACCAGCAGUUUUGCCUCAGGUGGAACAACCAUCAAAGCACACUCAUACAAAAUUUCGAUACGCUCCUCGAAAGCGGUACGCUGGUCGACUGUACACUUGCGGCGGAGGGGAAGUAUCUCAAGGCCCACAAAGUAGUCCUCUCCGCGUGCAGUCCAUACUUCGAGGGCCUCCUCAGCGAACACUACGACAAGCACCCAGUCUUCAUACUCAAGGAUGUUAAAUUCAAAGAACUUAAAGCAAUGAUGGAUUAUAUGUAUAGGGGAGAAGUAAAUAUUUCUCAAGACCAAUUGGCAGCACUACUCAAAGCCGCUGAGUCUCUUCAAAUUAAGGGCCUUUCGGAUAGUAAAACGGGUGGCAGUAGUAAGACGGAAUCCAGGCCACAAAAAAUUAUCUCGGUACCACCGUUACAGCCGCCAGUAUCAUCGUUAGACAUUCCACAUGCGUCUUCCGGUCUGACGAUAGAAAAGAACAAAGUUCCUAGGCAGGGUAUGACGCAAAGUUCUGUAGGGGAUUUGCCAGAAGACACAGCUAGUCCCCAAAUGCCGAAAAGGAUUUCUUCGAGGGAAGGUUCUCAAAGUCCAACUACGAGAAAAAGAAAGAGGUUUCGAAGAGGAAGUUUGGGCGAGGAUAACACAUUAGAGAACCAAGACACUUCGAAUUCCAGUGACAUGCCUCAACAAAUGAACGUACCAGCGCUCGGAAUCGCUCCUGUGGCAGAUGAGAAAACACACGCAGACGCUAGUGAUUCUCUCGGCAGGUCAGCGCUAAUGACGCAGCUGACGAAACCUGCGGAAGAGAUGUUGCAGCUGCCACUCGAAAAACCCGAGCCAAACGAUAAUCUCAUCGAGCCAAAGUCUGAAUACCUAGAGGAACCUGAGGAGGCCGUCGAAGACCUGACGUUAGACGAUGAUAUAAACGAUCUUAGUGAGAUGGAGCAGGACAACAACCGAGCUGGACCGUCCCACGACCCCGCCCAACAUCCAGCAGGUCUUGGUGCGUGGCACGUCACUGGUGAUCGAAGUAACGCAGGAGGCGUCGUGGGUUCGGUGGCGGGAGCUCCCGGAACGACGGACGAAGUCUUUCUAGCAGCUCAGGAAGCCGCACAACAGGCUCAUCGCGACUCACAAGGUACUCUCGUUGUCUGGGAGGACUAUCAGGUGCUCAGUACGAAUAUAACCAGCAGGUCCAAUAAUUACAUCGAUCGCAAGUUGAGAGUCAAGCGCAUGGAUCAGAUCGCGGGUAGGUACAAGUGCUCCAAAUGCGGCAAGUCGUACCGAUGGAAGCAUCACCUUGUGGAGCACGUGAAGGCCUCCUGCGGUCAAAACAAGGCGGAAUGCUGUCCGUACUGUAGCUACAAGAGCAAUCGCAAAUGGAAUUUGAAGUCGCACAUGAAGAGGAUUCACGCGAGCGUAUAAGAGACGGAGUUUUGAUUAAUAAGAAUGAUUGGAUGUGUGGGAUAGCAUUCACGGACGGUUUCCUUAUGAGUAUCGUUUACGAAGCUCGAGGUACAAAACAAAA
rnacentral:misc_RNA from 1 species